rnacentral:lncRNA from 1 species
AAUAAAAGAGUAAGGAAGAAGUGCACCAAAUUUAUACUGGUUGGCCACAAAUGUGGUUACGUCCAGUCUCCCGAGAUACAAUCACGAGGUUCAACUAAUCCUAUUAAGCUUCCGGGUGCUCAACAAACCGUUACAACUUGAGAACUUGAAUCACACAAGCCUCAACAACCUUGCUCGAAGAUACCGCACUUCAAGACUUCAACAGAAGGAAUAAAAACGUUCCUUCUAAC